rnacentral:rRNA from 1 species
AUGACUGCCUUGAAUAUCUACACUUCAUGGCAAAAGUCAUUGCUUGAAUCUGGACGGUGCACCAAGAAUUUACGGCAAAAGCCUUUCGACCACAACUCACAGGCUCAACCUUUAUGGCCUCAGAAUCAUGGUCGUCAUGAUGUUUUAGCUGUAGGAGAAGAACAUUAUGUUCACACAUAUACUUUAAUACUUAUUCAUGGUUAUAACAGGCAUACAGUUGUAUCUGCUUAUAUUGAUGUGUUUGAGCAAGCGGCGAGCUUAAUGAGAAGAGAUAACCCAGCUCAUCUGCAAUGUCAUAAGCUCAGGAACAUACAUGAAUCAAUGUGGAUGGCAGGAAGGCUUGAGCAGUCUUAUUAUCCUAUAAAGAGAAUCCAAUGUUUGCGACAAGGCUAUUAUCAAAGAAAGACAAAUGCCACCACCUGUUGA